rnacentral:ncRNA from 2 species
UUGGAGGGCAAGUCUGGUGCCAGCAGCCGCGGUAAUUCCAGCUCCAAUAGCGUAUAUUAAAGUUGUUGCAGUUAAAAAGCUCGUAGUUGAAUUUCGAGAUCAGUACGCUGGUCGUGCCUUCGGUAUGCACUGGUGUCACUGGUUUCUCCCUUCUGAAGAACCGUCAUGUCAUUAAGUUGGUGUGGCGGGGAAUCAGGACUGUUACUUUGAAAAAAUUAGAGUGUUUAAAGCAGGCUCGCGCUUGAAUACAUUAGCAUGGAAUAAUGAAAUAGGACGUUUGACCCUAUUUUGUUGGUUUCUAGGAUCGACGUAAUGAUUAAUAGGGAUAGUUGGG